UAAUACGGAGGGGGCAAGCGUUACUCGGAAUUAUUGGGCGUAAAGGGCGCGUAGGCGGUCUCGUGCGUCAGGGGUGAAAUCCCCGGGCUUAACCCGGGACGUGCCUCUGAUACGGCGAGACUUGAGUCCGGGAGAGGGGAGCAGAAUUCCCAGUGUAGCGGUGAAAUGCGUAGAUAUUGGGAGGAAUACCAGUGGCGAAGGCGGCUCCCUGGACCGGUACUGACGCUGAGGCGCGAAAGCGUGGGUAGCAAACAGGAUUAGAUACCCUGGUAGUCCACGCCGUAAACGAUGGGUGCUUGGUGUCGGGGGUAUCGACCCCUCCGGUGCCGAAGCUAACGCAUUAAGCACCCCGCCUGGGGAGUACGGUCGCAAGGCUGAAACUCAAAUGAAUUGACGG
rnacentral:rRNA from 1 species